CUCCGGCCCUGUUCGAGACGGACUCGGCAGACGUUCGCGUCUCUCUUGUUUGCCGAACCCGUUUUGAAUGGGGCCGUGU
rnacentral:pre_miRNA from 1 species